GUCCUCGUCAACAGGUGCUCGUCAACAGGUGCUCGUCAACAGGUGCUCGUCAACAGGUGCUCGUCAACAGGUCCUCGUCAACAGGUCCUCGUCAACAGGCCCGGACUCCCAGAGCAACAGGUCCUCGUCAACAGGUGCUCGUCAACAGGUGCUCGUCAACAGGUGCUCGUCAACAGGUCCUCGUCAACAGGUCCUCGUCAACAGGUCCUCGUCAACAGGUCCUCGUCAACAGGUCCUCGUCAACAGGUCCUCGUCAACAGGUCCUCGUCAACAGGUCCUCGUCAACAGGUCCUCGUCAACAGGUCCUCGUCAACAGGUCCUCGUCAACAGGUCCUCGUCAACAGGUCCUCGUCAACAGGUCCUCGUCAACAGACAGGAGAAACGCUGACAGACUUGAUCCUCUCUCAUUUAGUAGACGACGUGAGGCACAGUUGACAGAAGUAUCCGAGUACGGAACAAUUUUUUCCGUAUCUGAAAAGUUUAUCUAUACCGUACAGCGCUAAUCCUUCUUGUUCACUUCUGCAAAUGGCUGCCUUCUAAAUUAAAGUGCCACUAGCCACCACUGUAUCCUAAGGCCCAUUUGGUUUAUGAUGAACAUAUUUGUCCUAAGACAUCACUUCCUGUUUGCUAAUACAUUUUUUAUUUUUCACCUUUUAUUUAACGAGUCAGGUCAGUUAAGAACAAAUUAUUAUUUUCAAUGAUGGCCUGAGAACAGUGG